GCCGGGGUGGCGGAACUGGUAGACGCGCCAGACUCAAAAUCUGGUUCAGGCAACUGAGUGGGGGUUCGAUUCCCUUCCCCGGCACCA
rnacentral:tRNA from 1 species